rnacentral:rRNA from 1 species
ACUCCUACGGGAGGCAGCAGUAGGGAAUCUUCCACAAUGGACGAAAGUCUGAUGGAGCAACGCCGCGUGAGUGAAGAAGGUUUUCGGAUCGUAAAACUCUGUUGUUAAAGAAGAACAAGUGUUAGAGUAACUGUUAACACUUGACGGUAUUUAACCAGAA